CGGAGGGUGCAAGCGUUAUCCGGAUUUACUGGGUUUAAAGGGUGCGUAGGUGGGUAGGUAAGUCAGUGGUGAAAUCUUCAAGCUUAACUUGGAAACUGCCAUUGAUACUAUUUAUCUUGAAUACUCUGGAGGUAAGCGGAAUAUGUCAUGUAGCGGUGAAAUGCUUAGAUAUGACAUAGAACACCAAUUGCGAAGGCAGCUUACUACAUAGUUAUGACACUGAGGCACGAAAGCGUGGGAUCAAACAGGAUU
rnacentral:rRNA from 1 species